ensembl:lncRNA
GUCUGUCUGUCUGUCUGUCUGUCUGUCUGUCUGUCUGUCUGUCUGUCUGUCUGUCUGUCUGUCUGUCUGUCUGGGAGUCUGUUUGUGUUGCAAUGGCCAUGAGACAUACCAUUGACCGCCAGCAUCCCAGCUACAAAGAGGGGAAAUGUAAAUUGCUUGAAAGUAAACAAGACCACCUUAUAGCUGAAGCUGAGAGAGCCGUUGAGGAGAGGAAACGUGCGCGUUCUGGUGGAGGACCUCCAUGUGGCUCCACUAGUGACGGUGCAAGACGAGGCAAGCCGAGGGGGAGGCGUGGAGGGCGACGCGGAGGGCGACGCAAAGCCUCAGCCACAGUCACGUUCCCCCCAGCUGAGUGCUCCCCGUCAUCCCAUGAGGACGUUCCGCUUACUGUACCUUCAGCGCAACUGAAUCCUCAAGAGGCAUUUGAAAAGUUUGUGGAGAGGCUUUCAUCUCUAAAUGCCUCUGGUCCUUCUGCCAAGCCUCAAAGAAGCUCUGCAUCUUCAUGGACUUUUCGGCAGCAGAAAGCCUCAGAGCGCUGGACAGAAGCACGACCAAACCACCUACAAGGCCUCAUUGAAAAGGAGGCUGUUGGUCAUCCCUUGUGUUGCCUCUGCCCCAAGCCGGCUGUUAUUAGGUGCAGAGAGUGUCUCCCUGAAGAGUGGUUCUGUGGGGACUGCGAUGUACUGCAUCACAAAAAACAGCCACUCCACAACAGGGAAUGUCUGACACGUGGGUUCUUUGAACCCAUUCCUCCAACCACACGCGUCAUGAAAGGGGAGGAUGGAUAUUUCACUCAGGAGCAAGCUUGCAUCUUGCCAACUGUGAGUGUGUCAAACUGCGUCUGCGAUGGCACAACCUUCACUGUGUUACCAGGCAAACCAGUGAUUUUAAUUAACAUCAAUGGACGUUAUGACUUGCAUCAGCCACUGUAUGUAUGUCAGACGUGCCAGCAGCAGAGGACCCCUGACAUGAAGCACUUCCUUCAGAGUGGAUAUUGGCCAGCCUCUCUCAAUACUUCCACGUUGUACACGUUGGACCUCUUGAGCUCCUUUCAGGAACUGAAAGUAAUCUCUCCGGGAUUCUCCAGACAGGCCUUCGCAAAGCUCCUGGAGCAUCGCACCAAGUGUGGAGGACGAUCUGGACAUAUCAAAGGUGACACCCUGCAGCGCAGCUUCUUGGAGUUUUCAUAUGCUUCGUUUGAGAAGGACCAACUCUGCUGUGGUGCUGUUCUCACCUGCCCAGCCUGCACACCAGAAAUGUUGGCUGUUUCAGUAGAUGGAAACAGAAAGUUAUAUCGCUUUCGCCGAAAUGGAAGUUCUGGUGACCAUGCCUUUUUUGAAGGUUUAUUUGUGGCUGAAGACAGUGCAGUGUCUGGAUUUGUGGACAUGAUCCAGAAAGCUGUGAAAAAGACACAGGGAAGAGGCACGUGUGGGGACUCCCAAUGGACAGCAGCACGGGAGACAUCAAGAAGGGCAUCCAAAUUGGAUGAAGAGGGCAUGGAGGUUGCUGUGUGUCGCCAUGGUUUCCUUCUUAAAGCCCUUAAUAUGUACAGGGAG